rnacentral:rRNA from 1 species
AGCAGUAGCCGCGGUAAGACAGAGUAUGCAAGCGUUGUUCGGAUUUAUUGGGCGUAAAGGGUGCCUAGGCGGUUUGGCAAGUCUUGUGUGAAAUCUAUGGGCUCAACCCAUAGCCUGCACGAGAAACUACCGGGCUUGAGUGAUGGAGAGGUGAGUGGAAUUUCCGGUGUAGCGGUGAAAUGUGUAGAUAUCGGAAGGAACACCUGUGGCGAAAGCGGCUCACUGGACAUUAACUGACGCUGAUGCACGAAAGCUAGGGGAGCAAACAGGAUUAGAUACCCCCGUAGUCCCUGUCUCUUAUAA